rnacentral:piRNA from 1 species
UAAAUGAGCUGUUCUACCAGAGGUG